rnacentral:rRNA from 1 species
UACGGGGGGGGCAAGCGUUGUUCGGAAUUACUGGGCGUAAAGGGCUCGUAGGCGGCCAACUAAGUCAGACGUGAAAUCCCUCGGCUUAACCGGGGAACUGCAUCUGAUACUGGAUGGCUUGAGUUCGGGAGAGGGAUGCGGAAUUCCAGGUGUAGCGGUGAAAUGCGUAGAUAUCUGGAGGAACACCGGUGGCGAAGGCGGCAUCCUGGACCGAUACUGACGCUGAACGGCGAAAGCUAGGGGAGCAAACGGG